rnacentral:rRNA from 1 species
CUAGCGGCAGGCCUAACACAUGCAAGUCGAGGGGUAGAGUUCUUCGGAACUUGAGACCGGCGCACGGGUGCGUAACGCGUAUGCAAUCUACCUUAUACAGGGGAAUAGCCCAGAGAAAUUUGGAUUAAUGCCCCAUAGUGUUAUAGAAUCGCAUGGUUUUAUAACUAAAGUUCCAACGGUAUAAGAUGAGCAUGCGUCCCAUUAGUUAGUUGGUAAGGUAACGGCUUACCAAGACAAUGAUGGGUAGGGGUCCUGAGAGGGAGAUCCCCCACACUGGUACUGAGACACGGACCAGACUCCUACGGGAGGCAGCAGUGAGGAAUAUUGGUCAAUGGGCGCAAGCCUGAACCAGCCAUGCCGCGUGCAGGAAGACGGUCCUAUGGAUUGUAAACUGCUUUUAUACAGGAAGAAACCUCCCUACGUGUAGGGACUUGACGGUACUGUAGGAAUAAGGAUCGGCUAACUCCGUGCCAGCAGCCGCGGUAAUACGGAGGAUCCAAGCGUUAUCCGGAAUCAUUGGGUUUAAAGGGUCCGUAGGCGGCCUUAUAAGUCAGUGGUGAAAUCUCCUAGCUCAACUAGGAAACUGCCAUUGAUACUGUAAGGCUUGAAUUUUUGUGAAGUAACUAGAAUAUGUAGUGUAGCGGUGAAAUGCUUAGAUAUUACAUGGAAUACCAAUUGCGAAGGCAGGUUACUAACAAACGAUUGACGCUGAUGGACGAAAGCGUGGGGAGCGAACAGGAUUAGAUACCCUGGUAGUCCACGCCGUAAACGAUGGAUACUAGCUGUUCGGAGCAAUCUGAGUGGCUAAGCGAAAGUGAUAAGUAUCCCACCUGGGGAGUACGCACGCAAGUGUGAAACUCAAAGGAAUUGACGGGGGCCCGCACAAGCGGUGGAGCAUGUGGUUUAAUUCGAUGAUACGCGAGGAACCUUACCAAGGCUUAAAUGUAGAUUGACAGGACUGGAAACAGUUUUUUCUUCGGACAAUUUACAAGGUGCUGCAUGGUUGUCGUCAGCUCGUGCCGUGAGGUGUCAGGUUAAGUCCUAUAACGAGCGCAACCCCUGUUGUUAGUUGCCAGCGAGUCAUGUCGGGAACUCUAACAAGACUGCCAGUGUAAACUGUGAGGAAGGUGGGGAUGACGUCAAAUCAUCACGGCCCUUACGCCUUGGGCCACACACGUGCUACAAUGGACGGUACAGAGAGCAGCCACUGGGUGACCAGGAGCGAAUCUACAAAACCGUUCUCAGUUCGGAUCGGAG